rnacentral:rRNA from 1 species
AAUCGCGAAUCAGAAUGUCGCGGUGAAUACGUUCCCGGGCCUUGUACACACCGCCCGUCACACCAUGAGAGUCGAUAACACCCGAAGCCUGUGAGCUAACCUUUUAGGAGGCAGCAGUCGAAGGUGGGGUUGAUGAUUGGGGUGAAGUCGUAACAAGGUACC